CUUGAGUGAAGUGUCACAUAUGAUUAUAAACAACGUUAGUCAUAUAUAAUCGACAUGUUACAUCAUGAUGGUCAUUAGAAUAGCAAGCUUGCCACUACAGCAUUCAUGUGUGCUUCGUAAUGCUCAUAAGAGACUAAGUACACACUAACAUGAUAAAUGAGUCAUUUUUCAUUCAUUCUUCUAAAUAAGACUUGUUGCGUCUUAAUUAGAGAACCAACAUUUGAAUGUGCUUUUCAUACAUUCUCCAACCAAGACUUCUCGUUGGUUCCAUCUUAAUUAGAGAAUUGAGAUACAUAGUUUUCUUAAUUGUACAUGCUAUGAUCUAAGUAGGAGAAGUGAACGCGAUAUCUCAUAUUAAAUGAGACUUCCAUUCUCCCCCUCAAAAUGUGGUCUAAACCCACAAUUUUGAUGAGCUCUCAUUAAUCACAUUUCUCUGACAUCUUCAAUGGUAACAUAGUAUAUAAUCUUUACAAAAGAUUCAUUUAGUGAAAACAUAACUCGUCUCACCAUAAGGUGGGACUAACAAUACAUAAUUUGAGUUGAGUUACUAACAUAUAAAAUCACGUCAUCUAUUCGAGAGAUGAAAUUAAGGUUGUCCAAUAACUAGGAGCAUGAACGAAACAUCAUCAAUAAGAUGAAGAAUUAAGUCAUCUCCAAAAGCUAGUGGAAUAAAUCCAAUAGUUUUGACUUUAAUCUCCUUUGCAUUAAUGAUGUGCAUGACGGCACAUGCGUCCUCUCCCAAUGUCUGCCUUAUCGUCAUGAUUAACAUCCUUCAACCUUAUUGGCAGAAAAACGGUUGGGAGAUUCCUUACAUGAGACAAUGAUCUCCAAUCUCCAUGUGGGAAAGAUAUUUACAUAAGGUUCUUGUAUGCCAAACAAAAGUUUGACAUCAUUAUUAUUGCUAGAAAGAGGAGACAACUUUAUGAUCAUCAUAAUAAAAAAACAAGCAUGAACUAACCAUGCAAUGCCACGAAUAAAAACAUGCUUAAUGUUUAUUCUAAUCCAUAUCACCGUUGGGCAGAUAUUGAAAAAGAACCUUACUCAUUCGUAAAUGACACAUGAAAAACAUAAUCAAUGUUGGUCAGAAUAUCAUCAUAUGUCAUUAGAACAUUUGCUCAUUAAAUCUCUAAUCAAAACUUCAUGUUGGUUCCAUUUUGAUCAGAGAGAUGUAAAAUCUCGUAAUGACCAGCAAGAACUAUGACUAAAUUAAUUGCCAUCAUUAACAUAAAGCAACAUCAUAAUAUAAUCAUGUGUGCCAUGAGGCGCAGUGAUGCCUUUUGACACUAAAUCUCACAACGAUAAUAUAAAUAUUGAACUUAAGUGUCAAAAUUAUCAUUAGAAUGCUCAACGACAUACAAUGAAAAUGAUAUUGGAAUUAACAUAUAAAUAUAAAUGUCACUCCCACCGAGUAAUCAUUAAAGAGGACAUUCAAAGUGAAAAUGUCAUAAAUAUAAAUCAUCAUAAGAAUUUCCAAAGCUAAAUUUGGAUAUCAACAUUCUCCAAAUUAUAAUAUUGGGCAAAUUAAUAAUUUUCAAAUAAAUGACCAUGUAAAAAAAAUUAAACAAAGUUUCUUCAUUAAGAGAAUUGAUCAUAACCCAUUAACAUCAUUUUGGACCGUUAUGAAUAUUUGAGAGGUGCAGAUCAUAAUAAAAAUGGCAUAAAAUGCACCAACCAACAACUUUAGUUUUGCCCGAUAUGCAUAUUGCCCCAACAUUAUUAUGACACAUAGUGCGGCGCGGAAAAAUGAACCACACAUCCAUAUCAUUUUUCUUGAGGUGGCCUGAGCCCAUUAGAAAUGACCACAUCUUUCAGAAAUGCCAUAAGUGUGGCAUCAACAUUAAAUUCACAAUCAAUCAAAAUUACAAAUAAAAUAUUUAGAAAAUUCAAUGAGCGAUUCAUAAUUGUGCUCAAACAUAAUAUCAACUCAUAAUUCAAUUUAAACAGUACAUAAGACGUUACCUAAAGGAUUCAAACUGCAUAAAAGUGCGCUUAAAAAAAGGCCUGAAUAAUUCAUCAUAGAUAUUGGCCACAUCAUUAUUGGAUAAAAUAUCAAUAUUUUGACAACAUUUAAUUUCCAAUAUCAAUUGAUAUUUAAAAAAUACUCAACAUUAAAUUUCGUGGGUUAAAAAUACCAAAUAAAAUUUCAUGUUUAUUCCGAAAACCUAAAACAUAAUUUAGAACAUAAUUUUCUAGAUAUUUUCAUUAUGAAGCAGUGCAACACAUUUUGUGAAACAUCAUAAGACAGAAAGGCACUGAAUAAAAGGAAAAAACACAGAACAUUAAAUGUUGCCCAUAAAACCCACGGUAGCCUUUAUUGACUUGCCGAGGAGAGAAAAGUUCUCAGCGAAAAAGAAAAAAAUCUUCCCAGGGCCUCGAUAACCUGGGCCUGAACCCAUGGCCAGAUUUGGCCCUUUAUUUACUCGAACGCCCAGCAGCUGGCCUGGGCGCCAAUCUCAGCCGUCCUUUCAAGUCGACGGUCUGGAUCAUCCCCAGCCGGAACAAAACGGCUACCCGGUCGAACCCUAGGUCCAUUUGCCCCGUUCCUUCCCCGAUUCUCCCGGAGCGGCAACACAGAGGCGACCGAAGUGGCGGCUUAAGGCACACCGGCUAUGGCGGUGCGGCAGCCCCGUUCGUGGGAGCAGCGUGCCUGGCCUCAAGGCCGCGCGCUCCUCCGCCGAACGGUGCCAGCCGUGUCGACCUCAUGGUGCUCACGGGAGCAAGUCUGCGCCGGCAACGCGCACGAGGCGCUCGACGGCGAGGAGGGAAGCAGACCACCGGCGCAUAAUCUUUGGGGUUCAACGACGACGUGUGCGGCACAGGGGCCACAUAGCAUUCGCGUCCAUAAGGGUGGCGCCGCCGGCCAUUUCUUUCGCGCGCGUCGUCCCGAGAGACGGCGGCGUCGCCGCUGUCGGGAUCCCGAAGGAGAGCACCGGCACGGCGUCAUUAGGUGAAGCCCGACUCCCUUUUCUUUUCUUUAGUGAUUUGCGUUUUGGGCAACGAAAAAUUUAGGGAAUUUCAUUAUUUGGGGUUUCAAAGUCGGGGAAUUUCUUUAAACAUUCAAAUCCCCUCCUUCUAAUUGCUUAAACAGGGCCAACUGUGCUAAUUAAAUCAUCAACAUAAUGCGGAAACAUGGCAUAAUUACAUUUACCAAAUACAACUAGCACCAAGCCGUAGCUAAAUUCGCCUUAACCGAAAACAUUAACCCCUAAUCCUGAUAAUUAACUUUAACAACGUCAAUAAUCUUAAACACAAGACAUUAGGAUGUAUUCAUACUUAAACAGAUUGCCAUUAAACUUGAUUAGGGAUCUAAUCUAGGCAUUGACUUGCUCAUGAUACCAUUGUUGUGAACAAUCUUUAGGGAUAAACGUGAGAGGAUCUUAACCCUAGCAUUAGACCACCUAAAACAGAUUAAUAGAAAAGGGUUCGUGAUUUCUUACAGGUUCUGAUGGAAGCCUUGUUCCUGCUUGGUGCACUCCUCAUGUAGCCUAUGGCUACACCUUGCGUUGAAACAUGAAGAUGGUCGGGGAAGAAGUGCAGGGAACAGGACCUCGAAGCAAGCAGCAGAAGCGCCGCAGUAGGACUGGCCGCCGGCACUGACCUUGCGGUGGCCGGCGAUGGUAGUCGGUCUUCUGAUCACCUUGAGCGCCUUCUUUUUAGGAUCGGUUGUUAGCAAGUUGUAUGACCCGGACAUGUGUGUGUUUUUGAAGGGGUACAUCUUGCUCAUUAUAUAGGUGGCGCUAAAGGGAUCAGGGACCGAAACCAACAGCUGGAUUUGGUGCCUCCGAUCAUGGCACGUACGUGGGGUAAAAAGGGCCCCCCUUUUCUCUCGGUCAGUUAUGACCUGAGAUCAAAAUUCCAA
rnacentral:rRNA from 1 species